rnacentral:rRNA from 1 species
UACGUAGGGUGCAAGCGUUGUCCGGAAUUAUUGGGCGUAAAGAGCUCGUAGGCGGUCUGUCGCGUCGGCUGUGAAAACUCGGGGCUCAACUCCGAGCUUGCAGUGGGUACGGGCAGACUAGAGUGCGGUAGGGGAGACUGGAAUUCCUGGUGUAGCGGUGAAAUGCGCAGAUAUCAGGAGGAACACCGGUGGCGAAGGCGGGUCUCUGGGCCGUAACUGACGCUGAGGAGCGAAAGCGUGGGGAGCGAACAGG